GAUGAACGCUGGCGGCGUGCCUAAUACAUGCAAGUCGAGCGAACAGACGAGGAGCUUGCUCCUCUGACGUUAGCGGCGGACGGGUGAGUAACACGUGGAUAACCUACCUAUAAGACUGGGAUAACUUCGGGAAACCGGAGCUAAUACCGGAUAAUAUAUUGAACCGCAUGGUUCAAUAGUGAAAGACGGUUUUGCUGUCACUUAUAGAUGGAUCCGCGCCGCAUUAGCUAGUUGGUAAGGUAACGGCUUACCAAGGCGACGAUGCGUAGCCGACCUGAGAGGGGGAUCGGCCACACUGGAACUGAGACACGGUCCAGACUCAUACGGGAGGCAGCAGUAGGGAAUCUUCCGCAAUGGGCGAAAGCCUGACGUAGCAACGCCGCGUGAGUGAUGAAGGUCUUCGGAUCGUAAAACUCUGUUAUUAGGGAAGAACAAAUGUGUAAGUAACUAUGCACGUCUUGACGGUACCUAAUCAGAAAGCCACGGCUAACUACGUG
rnacentral:rRNA from 1 species